rnacentral:rRNA from 1 species
UACGUAGGGGGCUAGCGUUGUCCGGAAUCAUUGGGCGUAAAGAGCGUGUAGGCGGCCCGGUAAGUCCGCUGUAAAAGUCAAAGGCUCAACCUUUGAAUGUCAGUGGAUACUGCCGGGCUAGAGUCCGGAAGAGGCGAGUGGAACUCCUGGUGUAGCGGUGGAAUGCGCAGAUAUCAGGAAGAACACCAACGGCGAAGGCAGCUCGCUGGGACGGUACUGACGCUGGAGAACGCGAAAGCGUGGGGGAGCGAACAGG